rnacentral:rRNA from 1 species
UACAGAGGGGGCAAGCGUUGUUCGGAAUUACUGGGCGUAAAGGGCGCGUAGGCGGCCUGCUAAGUCGAACGUGAAAUCCCCGAGCUCAACUCGGGAACUGCGUCCGAUACUGGCAGGCUUGAAUCCGGGAGAGGGAUGCGGAAUUCCAGGUGUAGCGGUGAAAUGCGCAGAUAUCGGGAGGAACACCAGUGGCGAAGGCGGCACUCUGGGCCAGUACUGACACUGAGGAGCGAAAGCGUGGGGAGCGAACAGG